CUUGAAAGCAGCGCAGAGGAUUGAGGCGGCCGUCGCUAGGCAAAUGUCCAGGUGGGAGAUGCUGGGCCAGAAGCCAUGACCGUUCCAGCAUCGGCCGCGGUGCGGGAAGGGGAAGUGGGGACACCACUGGAGGAGGUGAAGCCGUCCAGCUCAAGGCCCUCGAGCCGGGAAGGGGCGAGGGAGCUGGGUGUGGAGACAAGGAUCCAGCAUCCAGGUGACCUCCAGGCCCGGCCAGGCUCUGGAGGACACUUGGGACAAGGGGAGGGCUUUGGAUCUGAGGCCGAGGGAUCUGACCAGGGGCGGAAGUUCUGCUCCGGCCCGCAGACUGUGCCCAAGCAAGCCCGCUGCCAACGCCCCUGCUCCUCUGCGACCCUCGGACCGAUAGUCUCUUUUCCCGCAGCGCGGGCUUUCGAGUUCCGGGUCCUCCGGCGUGCUGGGCUCGUGCCCGUUCUCGGGAGCCAGCGUCUGGGCACCACGCAGCGAUGUCCGGAUGCAGCGCCCUUGCCGCGGGCCUUACCCCGCCAGGCGCCGGAGUCCACGCUCCACCGCCGCUGAGGGGCGUUCGGGCGCCACCGAGCAGCCCAAAUUGAAACCCCGAGAGGCUCGGGACUAAAGCUGAAGGGGCAGGUAGAGGGGCCGCCCGGCGGUCCCAGACCAUCCUAGCAAAUCUGGGGCGAGGGAAGGGUUGUCAGUUGGCCGAUUGGGAGCGGCUUCGGGAGCGAAGGAGCUGCUUUUCGGCGAGGCCCCUCGGGAGUGAAGGUUCCUCGAAUCAAGCGUAAACUGGGGCCCCCUCUGGGAUGGUGUAAACUUAUUCAGCUUCAAAUGCAGCCCAGUAUCCUGCCCUAAGUUCCAGAGGACCAUUUUCCACAUGAAAAGUCUUACGGAUAGACAAACUUCCAUUCAAGCCAAUGUCAAGUUUUCAUUGCAAGAAAGUAGCAGCCGUGUUUAAGGUAAGAAAGUUUCUGCUUUUAUUGAAAAUUUAUAUAUGACUCAGUAUUGUAAUAAAUAAACAUAACCAUUUUCACAAAAAAUGACAGUGCUAUGCUAAAGAAGAAAAUAUUAAAUGGGGGAUUUACUUGUAGUGGCAAGACAGACUUUUUAUCAAUACAGAAUAAAUAUUAACAGCAUUCGUGAGCCAAUGUUGAGACCCAACAAAAUGUAGGAAUCAAGCAUGAUGUAAGAAAUAAUUAUCCAGAGAAAAAGAUGGUGUAUUCUCGGAUGAUAAGACUGUCUUUGUAAACUGGUGCAUAUCAAUUAGUCCCAUCCUCACAGCUCACCUUCAAACCACAGGGCUUGUUUCUGGCUAUGUUAAAGGACCAUCCUCUGAGGAAAGCAGAGGAGAGGAACUCCAUUAUCCUUACAGUGAAACGCAACCACUGCAGAAAAACUCCACUGGUAAAUAGAACACAGUUUAAUAAGUAGAUUGGAUAUGAUCUAACUAUAAAAUUUAGGUAACAGAGUAAGUGUUACAUGUGGCAGGACCGGAAAAAAAUCAUGACAUUUUUCUUAUCCCCUUGUACCCCUCCCACUGUCAUUAUGCUAUUACCAACAACAACAAGAAUAAUGUUUCAAAUUUUCCUCUCAUCAAAAAAUGAGAGAAAAUAACGAGGGAAGUGUUUUUGUUCUUUUUCGAACAGUUUCUUGAACACCUCCAAUACCAAUCACUCACAAGGUGUCUGUGCAAAUCUAUUUCACAGGAUUUCAAGGAAAUUGUUAACUCACAAAAAAAUCCUUAAAUGAAGCUAUUUUGGAGUUCUGUAUAUUAUUUGGAAAGGAGGGAGGAAAAGGGUGGUGGUGGUAAAGUAGAGGUAAAGUAGUACAAUCCAGCCAAACAAAAUGUUAAAAGUUUUAAAUCAACAAUGAGUCUGACUUUUUCUGGUUUGGGAAGCAAGACUCUAAAAUGUUGGGAGAGAUUCUUUCUGAUCUGAUGGCUACUGAAGAACACAUUUCUCCUCUUUCUUGGCCAUCUUGCCUUUGUUUUGCUCCAGAGUUCGCUCCAAAUGCUCAUCUUCUUCUUCGGCCCUGGAUGUCAGACAAACAGGACAAACAGGAAACAAAAUUAUUUUUCUUCGUGGAGGGCAGAGCAGCACUCCCCCGUCGCCCAGUAUUUGGAUCCCCAGCGGGAAUGGGGAGCACCAGGCCAGUGGGAGGCUGCCCCGGCCCUCCCGCGACCUCUGGAUUGAACUUUCCGCACACUUCUCGGCCCCUCGGCAGGUGGCCCAGCCUCGACCCGACCCCACUGCCCACUCACUGCUUCUCCUGCGCGUCCAGGUCCCUGACGAGCGCAUCGCGCUUGUUCACCAGGGCCACCAGCUCAUCUAGCAGAAGCUGUUCGCGUCGCUUCUGGGCCUCGGUCUUCUGCCAGUCUGCAGAAGACGGGAGGCUAGUUACCCACCGGCAGGGCCUCCGAACACCCGGCCCCCCGCCCUCCCCUUCCCGCCUUUUCCAGUUUCCUUAUAUUUCUCAGCAAACCACAUUAUAGAGCCACUAGCUAGUGUUUUCUGGGGAGUUUGGCUGUUGUGGUGAAGGCUUCCUCGCUAAAAGUCUACUUCCUAAACAGGUCCUGUGAAUGGAGAUGGCUGCAGCAGUGUUGGAACCUGCUUAGAACCAGGUGUGAACUGGUGGCUAGCCUGAGGUGCGCACCUGAAUCCAGCCAAAGUGGGGGAGGGGAGCUAGAGGCCCAGAAGAGGUUGGCCCAGGGGUUGGUAGUGGGGGAAGUGGGUAAAUGAGGAGGCGGGAAACAGUGAUGGGCGAUAAAAUCAUUCUGAAAAGGCUAGAGAAUCUGCCUGAGAACCUAUCCUCCUCCCCCACCCCCACUCUCACCCCAAACAGCCCAUUCUUCGCUAAUUUCCUCUUCGCUCUAUUUUAGCAGUUGGAUGUAUCUCACACUGGGCGCCAUAUGCUUCACAAUAACUUUAAAAGUAGUGAAUCGGCUAAUUAGCAUUUUUCUUUGAAGUAAAAAAUAAAUUUGCUCUGCAAUAUUACACUGCAGCUCUCGAUCGCAUCACAGCCAGUUUUCUUUUGGAGACGUUUGCUGGGUGGUUUCAAAUCAAAGCACUUUUGCAAAGGAAAAAUUACAUAUUUCUUUCUGAAACCCUAUGUUAAAGGUUGGAAAACCCGAUGGGCAGUGCUCUUUCCAUGGAUGGGGGGCGUUUUUUUUUUUUUUUUUUGAAGGUUUUAGACCCCAAUAAUAUAUUUCCUAAUCUUUGCUGGUCUGAUGAUUUCCUUAAGAUGAGCAGCAGUUUCAUUUAAUAGAAACAGGACCAAAUCGAACAUUUAAAACACUUUUGAAACCAAAGCCAACUGCUCUCUGGCCAGACUGUAAGGGCUUGUAGCUGUCAAUCAACCCCCAGUCUACCCCGCCUCCCUCAUUAGGAAGGUAAACAAUGAAAAGAAGAAGUAGAUGAUGAGGCAGAUAGCAGAACAAAUGAGGACCUAGAGGGAAACAGGACACCAGCUUAAAAAAAAAAAAAAAAAAAAAAAAAAAAAAAAAAAAAAAAAAAAAAAAAAAGAACCAUGGCCACUGACUCCUGCAGCCCCCUCCCCCAGCAAAUGCACUUUCCAAAAAACAGAGAGAAGUGCAAUCCUUUUGGGUUUCUCUCUUCUCUCUCCAUUGCCCUGGGCAAUCAUGUUAAAACUCACAUGGCUGGUGCUUAUUCAGAUAAACCUAACAAUGCACACCGCUGGUUACCAUGUGAAUCUUCACAAACCACACAAGAAUGUGCUGGUUCAAAUCCCCCCCGACCCCCUCCAAAGCAAAAUUUAUUCAAGACAGCAAACUGCUCAGCAGCUUUAUGAAAGCAAAUGGUGCUAGAGGGAAUUCUAUCUUGUAUUUACAAAUUAAAAAUUAGAUGCAUCAUCAUGCAAUAAAGGUUAGAAAAGCAGCAAAAAGCUAGACUGUUUUAUUCAAUUUAUCACUAUUUCUUUCAUUAUAAGCUCUAACACAUACAUACAUAUUUAUAUGAAACAUGCUAUAUGUUAAUUAUCCACAUUCGAUAUAAAACCACACAAAU
rnacentral:lncRNA from 1 species